CCCUUAGACGUUCUGGGCCGCACGCGCGCUACACUGACCAGUGCAACAAGCGUCCGUCCUUGGCCGACAGGCUCGGGCAAUCUUUGAACGCUGGUCGUGAUGGGGAUAGACUUUUGCAAUUUUUGGUCUUCAACGAGGAAUUCCUAGUAAACGCAAGUCAUCAACUUGCAUUGAUUACGUCCCUGCCCUUUGUACACACCGCCCGUCGCACCUACCGAUUGAAUGGUCCGGUGAAGCCUCCGGAUUGGCGCGCACCUCGGUGCCGCCGAGAAGUUGGCUAAACCUUACCAUUUAGAGGAAGGUGAAGUCGUAACA
rnacentral:rRNA from 1 species